GCCACAUGAGCACGGAGCAGAGACAGGACGAUGUGGCCACCGGCACAGGGCCGCCCGGAACCCCAGGAGUGGAAGAGGCAGGAAGUGUCCUCCCCCAGAGCCUCCGGAGCUCGGCCCUGCCCACACCUUGAUGUUGGAUUUGGCCUCUAGUCAUGGGUUGGUGGAGGGGGGAGAUCACAUGGUUGUCCUAAGCCAGCAGCGACAGCAGCCCCAGGAAGGGACAGCUGUCUCACCGAAUGCGUGCCUGUCCUCCAAGCUGUGGCUGUGAGUGGCCCAGUAAUGUGUAGUGAUGGAUUGAAUAAGCACCAAGGAAGAUGCCCAAGCUUUGGACCGUCACUGCACCACUUGGUGUCUCUCUACGUCGUGAUGGAGGAUGGAAGACACAAGUCAAUACGGAGUCAGAAGAAAACCAUGUCCAAGGGCCUGGGUGGGGCCUGCAUGGAGAGGGAGGUGACAGGUGCGGUGCCUUCAGAGGGAGCAACGUGGACGGUCCUUGAGGGCAUGAGGCUGAGCGGAACAGGCCAGAUGGAGACGAACCCGCAUGACCACCUUCCACGGGGCUGGGAAGUAAACCCGCCGACACCGAGAGAAGCUGCUGCUCGCCAGGGCUGGGGGCUGCGGUGAAGGUGCUCGGAAGGUCCCAACUCCCAGUUAUGAGCGUCCUUGGAGAGGGAGACGUUUAACAUCUGGCUUGAAGUGAGCCUGUUGCUCUGACCUCUCUGAAAACUCGGAUUUUCUUCUUGGAGCGACGGAGGAUUGAAGAUAAAUCAGAGUGUUUGACAUGCAAAGCAGCUCCAAGGAAGUCUCUUUAACCACAACUUUGUUCCCAGUGGAACACCAACACUUACAUCCUCUUGGAGUGAAAACAGGACUUCAGCUGGAGCCCAUGCCUGUCAGUGGACCAAUCAGGGACACCAGCCAUUGAAUUGGGGCCUCACCUCAACUUGACUCCACCUGCAAAGACCUGAUUUCCAAAUAAGGUCGUAUUCUGCAGUUCCAGGAAGACACUGUUCAACCCACUGCACUGCCUCAUCACGUUCCUGAUGUGAUUCCUGAUGCUGCCCUGGCUGUGAAAGCCCAGGAAGUGUCCUAGAAGGCAAGGGGGGAUGGAGUCCAGGGAAAUACUCUGGACCAGUCAGUCCCAUCGUGCCUGUCACCUCUGGGAAGAACAGGACUCAAGGUCAGGACAGGAUUCAGGAUCAGGAUAGGACUCAGGAUUAGAAUAGGACUUAGGAUCAGGAUAGGACUCAGAGUCAGGACAGUCCAGGAUUAGAAUAGGGUUCCCGAUCAGGACAGGACUCAGGUAAUGAGCUGGGAUUCCCCUUCUAGGCUUCUAGGAUUCUGGGGUAUCUUCACUCAGUUGGGCAAAUUUUUUAGGGGAGGCUCCUAAAAUGUUCCAGCUGAACCAUAAACACAGCAGCAGACUCUGCCCUUUGUGAUGAGAAACUUCUCAAUAAACAGCUUUAUUAAAUAGCAUGCAUCCCUGAAAUAGGUAUAUUUCUGUAAUAUGCAUAAUAUCUAUCUGGUCACAUAUUGCAUAUUUGCUAAUUUUUUCACAUUUUUGAGGCUGAAACACAAAUAUGUUUUAAUAUGCUUUUCUGUGAUCCAUGUUGGAGACCAUACUUGUAGGCCCAUGCUUAUGAUUCAUAUACCCCUCUUUGAAAUUCAAGUGAGAAACUCCUUAGACAUGUCUAUAUAUAUGUGCAUUUAUAAACAUAGAAUUAUGCAUAAAAUUUGCAAGAAUUCAUAAGGUCCUGAUGCCCAUCCGUGGUCUGUAGCUCCAGAUUAUUAGACACCCAUUGAUUUGUAACAUAGGAUUUAAGAUAAAUAAAUAAAAAAAAAGGAUUUAAGAUAAAUCAGAGUGUUUGACAUGCAAAGCAGAGGAGAAGGAGGAGAGGCUCCAAGGGAGAGGAGGCUCCAUUAGGAGAGGAGGCUCCAAGGGAGAGGAGGCAUUUCUCCCAGAUAAUUACUGUGGGCUUCCCAUGAAGCUUACAGGAUUGAUCACAUGAGUUUUUGUGCCUCUCUCACAAUAAGAGGAAAACAAAGGUGCUGGGGCAAUAUUGUGUCAGUUGGUGAAGUGCUAAGUGACUUAGCAGAACAAGGAAAGGUAGUCUGAAGCCCUAGGGCAGGGCUGCAGAUGAAAAUACCAACAACAUAAUGAUUCAUUUGGAAUGAACUGAUGGUGUGUGAUUUGGAGGAGAGGUCAUAAAAGGCAUGUAGACUCUCUCUCGUCACUACCCUUGCUGGUGGGGGGAAUCAGAUGCCAUGUCACAGCCUACAGAGAGUCCCAUAUGGUGAAGAACUGAGGCCAACUGCAGUGGUUUUUGUUUGUUUGUUUGUUUGUUUGUUUGUUUGUUUGUUUUUUUGCCAUCUUGGAAAUGGCUCCUUCAACCCCACUCAAGCCUUCAGAUGAUGCAGCCCCAGCCAAUGCCUUGCUGAGAAGGUCAGAGGAGAUCCAGAGCCAGGGCCACCCAGGAAAAUGUAGAGCUUGACAGAAAAGAAUGAAAACAGGGCAAGCAUUCAAAUAGAGGUGCUAGAAAAAGCACAGAAUGAAACCAAAAUAAGAAAAAAGCAGAACAAAUAUGACAGAUAAGUAACAGUCAACUCUGCAUCUCUGAAAAAAGUAGUAAGACAAAUAUCCAUAAAACUGAGCCGCAGAAGAGGAAGUAAAAUGCAGAUGAAAUAUAACUGGGCAAGAUUAAAUAAUCCACAAGUAACAGAUUUUACAUAAAGGAAUUUGGGGAGCAAAUUUGCUGGUAAGUUGAAAUCUAAAAGAAAUGGGUACAUUUCUGAAAAAAAAAAAAGAAAGAAAACCCAUCACAUGGCAAACUUCACAUGAAAAGAUAUUGAAAACUUAAAUAGAUCGAUAACCAUCAAAGACAGUGAAAUUAUUACCAGAAAUGUAAGCCCCAUAGACCCCAGACCCAGACAGCUUUAUGGACGAGUUCUAACAGACCUUCCACCCCUCUUUGAAUGUUGGGAAUAAAAUGGAAGGGAAGGGCAGCCUGGGUGGCUCAGCGGUUUGGCGCCACCUUCGGCCCAGGGCGUGAUCCUCGAGACCCAGGAUCGAGCCCCACGUUGGGCUCCCAGCAUGGAGCCUGCUUCUCCCUCUGUCUGUGCCUGUCUGUCUCUCUCUCAUGAACAAAUAAAUAAAAUUUUUUAAAAAAGGGAAGGGAAGCUGAGCAGGUUCUCUCAUGAAGCUAUUAUAACUUUCAUUUCAAAAAUCAGGCAAGCACUGUAAAACAAUAAAAAAAUUGUAGAUCCACACAAUUUCUAAAUCCAAUAUUAGAACAAUCAGGUAGAUUAUUGAAAAUAGCCAGUCAUAGUCAAGGAGGGUUUAUUCUAAGAAGACUAGGGCGGCUCACCAUCAGAAAAUAUAUCCUCAUAACUCAUUGCUACGGGGCUCAGAGGAGAAAAGAAUUUACGCGAUCAUCUCAGCAGGUGUAACAAAAGGGCCAAUGAACAACUUAUGACUUUUCUGCCGAAAGUGGAGAGACAGAAGGAUCUUCUUUAACAAUUUGAUAAAACCUGCCUGUCCAAACCCCACACCAAAUGCGACACUUAGUGAAGGAAGUUCAGAUACGUUCCUUCUAAAUUUAUAUGUAAGAUGAAGAUAUGAAAAAAAAAAAAAAGAUGAAGA